AAAUUGAAGAGUUUGAUCAUGGCUCAGAUUGAACGCUGGCGGCAGGCCUAACACAUGCAAGUCGAACGGUAGCACAGAGAGCUUGCUCUCGGGUGACGAGUGGCGGACGGGUGAGUAAUGUCUGGGAAACUGCCCGAUGGAGGGGGAUAACUACUGGAAACGGUAGCUAAUACCGCAUAACGUCGCAAGACCAAAGUGGGGGACCUUCGGGCCUCACACCAUCGGAUGUGCCCAGAUGGGAUUAGCUAGUAGGUGGGGUAACGGCUCACCUAGGCGACGAUCCCUAGCUGGUCUGAGAGGAUGACCAGCCACACUGGAACUGAGACACGGUCCAGACUCCUACGGGAGGCAGCAGUGGGGAAUAUUGCACAAUGGGCGCAAGCCUGAUGCAGCCAUGCCGCGUGUAUGAAGAAGGCCUUCGGGUUGUAAAGUACUUUCAGCGAGGAGGAAGGCGUUGUGGUUAAUAACCACAGCGAUUGACGUUACUCGCAGAAGAAGCACCGGCUAACUCCGUGCCAGCAGCCGCGGUAAUACGGAGGGUGCAAGCGUUAAUCGGAAUUACUGGGCGUAAAGCGCACGCAGGCGGUUUGUUAAGUCAGAUGUGAAAUCCCCGGGCUCAACCUGGGAACUGCAUUUGAAACUGGCAAGCUUGAGUCUCGUAGAGGGGGGUAGAAUUCCAGGUGUAGCGGUGAAAUGCGUAGAGAUCUGGAGGAAUACCGGUGGCGAAGGCGGCCCCCUGGACAAAGACUGACGCUCAGGUGCGAAAGCGUGGGGAGCAAACAGGAUUAGAUACCCUGGUAGUCCACGCCGUAAACGAUGUCUACUUGGAGGUUGUGCCCUUGAGGCGUGGCUUCCGGAGCUAACGCGUUAAGUAGACCGCCUGGGGAGUACGGCCGCAAGGUUAAAACUCAAAUGAAUUGACGGGGGCCCGCACAAGCGGUGGAGCAUGUGGUUUAAUUCGAUGCAACGCGAAGAACCUUACCUGGUCUUGACAUCCACGGAAGUUUUCAGAGAUGAGAAUGUGCCUUCGGGAACCGUGAGACAGGUGCUGCAUGGCUGUCGUCAGCUCGUGUUGUGAAAUGUUGGGUUAAGUCCCGCAACGAGCGCAACCCUUAUCCUUUGUUGCCAGCGGUUAGGCCGGGAACUCAAAGGAGACUGCCAGUGAUAAACUGGAGGAAGGUGGGG
rnacentral:rRNA from 1 species